rnacentral:lncRNA from 1 species
GGAUAAUUGGGGAAGGACGUGAGAAGAAAGGGAAGGCAGCGAGGCUGCCAGAAAAAAAGAAAGAAAAAAAUAUAAAAAGGAGAGGAAGGCAGGUACGGGACAGAAGGGGGGGUCUUGGAGCGGGGUGGACAGAGGAGCUGCCUUUGGGCAGCUCGCAGACAGACGCAGCGGAACAGAAAAAUAAUUGGGGGAGAGAAGAGACUGACGUGGGCGCAAGAAGGGAGCACGGGAAGGAAAGAAGACAGUACGGGGAGAGAGGAAAGGAAAAGCAGGAAACGGUGAGGCGCAGCGAGAGGUCAGGAGGUCAGGAGGUCAGCACGCAGAAAGGAAAGAAAAUAAGAGGCCAGUGCACAGUAGGCGCAGGAAAGAGGAGGAGAGACUGACACGGGACUGAGGGCAGAGACCAGCAGAAAUGGGAGCAACACAGAGAAAAGUUUCACUCCAUUUUUCUUGGUUUUAUCUUCUCAAACUUAUGUUUAAUUUUUGGUUUAAUUUUAGAAUAAUGUGUAGCUAAAUUUAUUUUGGCUAGAGGUUAAUUCAAAGCCAUGAAUAUAUUUGUAAUAUGAAUGAUUGAUUACCUUCGGUUGUGAUUUCAUAAGUUGUGAUUUCAAUUUACUUAUCCAGUUCGUAUAAAAACUGAUUUGUGUAUGUUGGUUGAGAGUGCACGCUUAAUUUACAUGCAUGAAUUUGAUGCUAGAAUAUAAGUGAAUUUCACCUAAUCGUUAUGAACUUAUUUUCACAAGUAGUAAAGAUUGCUAGUCACAAUCACGUUAAGUAAAUUCUUGGCAAGAGUAUCAUGCUUUUCAUAGUUACGAAUGUCUCGUCAAUGCUUAUAGUUUUCACAAAGUUUAAUGAUCUUUGAUUGUAUCUCUAUUGUGCUUUUCACGUAGGGGACUUUUGAAGAAUGUUUUGAAUUGUUGUAUGCGUUUUCCCGUCCAAUUCAAUAACUUAAGGAAAACUUGAAGAUUAAAAAAGUGCUGUUCACGGUUAAUCUGGAGUAUUGAAAUUCACAAUUUAUUGAAAAAGAACAACUGAAAAUCAAUUUAGGUUGCAUAUGUGUCAUGUGUGGAGAAGAACCCUCUAGCUAGUCCGUCACUUAUCAUUUUACCUUAAUUUUAUGUUUUUGUCAAUUCUGUAAUUUAAUUAAGUUUAAUUUACUUUUAAUCAAAACCAAACACCCAUCUAUUAUUAAAUUAUAUUAUUUAGUUAGUUUUCUUUAUUGUUAGUCUUUUAAUUUAAUUUCCGUCCAUUUCAGUUCCUAGUGUUUAAUUUAAUUGUUUUCAUUAUUUUGAGUCAUUUUAAGUGUGUUUCGAGUUAUUAGAGUUUUUUAGCCUAAUUUUGUGUCCUUGAGUCUUAUUUAAUAUUUUUAAAUUAAUUUAGAAUAGAUUAGCAAUCCCUCCUAAUCCCCGGCCUAGAACGAUACCCUACUUACAUCUAUACUACAAUUGUCAAAAAGAGGGUAAAUUUUGUGUGUUAACUUAUUUUUCACAUCAAAUUUUGGCGCCGUUGCCGGGGAUUAGCAACUUUGCUAAUCCUUUUAUUUUUGUUUUUGUUUAUGUUUAUAUUGGUGUUUGUGUAUUUUACUUUUGAUAUUUGAUUUAUUUUUCUUUCUUUGAUUUUAGGUUCAAAUGGAGCCGAGGGAAAUUUAAAGGAAAGAUGCGUCCGGCUAAAGACGUUAAAUCAAGCGCUUCUUGGGAGGCAACCCAAGCAUUCAACGAAGGGAGACUUUGGAAUCACUAACCCAAUCAGCUUUGCAUUCUUCCACCCUUAUCUUUACUGCUUUCAUUUUGUUUUGUUUAGUUAGUUGUGUUAUUUGGUUGAUUUCUGUGAGUUUGUGUUAUUUAGUUUAAGUGUGGGGGAAGGUUAACCAAAGUCUCUUUACAUUAAUUUACAUAUAUAAAAAAAAAAAAAAAAAAAAAAAAAAUAAAAUUAAAAUUAAUGCAAAAAAAAAAAAAAAAAAAAAAAAAACAUAAAAAAAAAAAAAAAAAAAAAUGCAAAUAUUUUACAAUAAUGUAAACUAAUAGUAUUCAUUGGUCGGGUGGUGCUUCAGCAGUCGGUGGUGCUUCAGUAGUAGGCGGGGCUUCAGCAGUCGGCGGGGCCACAGAAGGAGGAGGCGGCAGAGGUUGAUCAGUUGGAGCUUCACUACGCGGUGCCGCUCCAGAAGACGAAGGCAGAUGCGGUUGGAACAAACCCACAAACCUCCGAUGAUCAAGUCAAGUAAAAUUUGACCAUCGGUGUCCUGCAUCUGGUCAAUCUUUCUCUUCAUGGUUGUGGCAUAGUUGUGUGCAAGCUUGUGCAAUUGUUUAUUUUCAUGCUUGAGUCCUCUAAUCUCCUCUUUGAGACUCUGUAUUUCAGCCACCAACGAUUCAACGUGACGGGUUCGAGCAAAUAGGCGUUGGGCCAUGUUGGAUACAGAACUCGCACACUGCACGCUAAGAGCCAGAGACUCCUUAACCGCCAAUUCAUCAGACCGCCUAGCGAGCAGUCUGUUAUCUCUGGGGGUGACAAGGUUCCGGGCCACCACCGCAGCGGUCAUGUCAUUUUUCAUCACCGAAUCCCCCACGGUAAGAGGACCGGUAGGGGAUAUGAAGGAUGGGCGCCAUAUAUGUUGUCUGGUGAAGGCGGAGCUGCCUCUUCACCAAUGUUCAAGUCAAAACGACGAUCGGAAGGGCCAGACAUUUUUCAGAGGUGGUGAAGAAAGAAAGAGAGUCGGAAUGAUCAAGAUUAAACAAGUGCAAGAAGGAAGUGUUUACAGGAGGGAGCUCAAGUGUGUUGUGGAACACGAUUAACGCCUCUAUAAAAAAGAAGAAAUCAAAUAGGCGCUCCUCAGAGAGGCGUCCUCUCGCAAAUCGAAGAGUCGGGACUCCUUUCUCAAAAGCCGGAUUCUUUUCUCAAAAGAGGCGUUUUCAUUUCUUAAAGGCUGGGCUUGCUCAGAAACCACGAGCCGAACCCCGGAUUUCAAAAGAUCAAUUUGUCCAGACGUGUCGUCACUUGUCACACGCAAAUUGCUUUGCGAAAUUCUCGGGCAGUUUGUCGAAGCACCAAUUCAGAAAUCGAAGAGGGAAAUUCAACAGUCAAAGACACGCUAGCUUUCUCAAAAGCUGGGCUUCAACCCACGGGCAAAAUCUUCUUUUCCAGAUUUAUCCGCACGUGUCACAUGCUACCUCUACAAUCGACGAUGCUCAGAGCUCGAAGCGCCGAUUCCAGAUAUCAAUGAGGAAUCUGCUUUGCGGAAAUUACGGGCAGCUUUGUCAGAAAGCGCGUAAUUUGUACUAUUCAUCCAUCUACCGGCUGCCGACAAUGAGUGAGAUAACAGUUCCGGUUGUGAAGAGAAGUCCUAUAUAAGUUUCUACCUUCGCCUUCCACAGCAAAGGCACACUCUCUCUCAGCACUUCUCUCUCAGCACUUCUUUUCAUCUCUGAAAAUGCAUUCCCAAAGAAUCCUCCUAAGUUACUCUGUGUUCCUAAUUCCUUGGGAUACUCCUGCGAACAACCCAUUUCAAAGCAAAAGUAUUUCAUAUCAUAAAGGUUGAAAGCAAGAGUAUCUCAUAUCAUGCUUUCUCCCUGUCCUUUCUCCAGCCAGCAGCACUUGCUCUCGAGUACUCAUCAUCUUGUGUUUCCUCUUCGUCUCUUACGUAUAAGGGAAGUGAAGAUGAUACCUCGAAGCAUGUGGAGACAACGUGCUGAUUCAUCCUCAACUAAGGACAAGGAGAAAGAGAGCAAGAGGUGGGCACUUGGAAAGAUUGAAGAAAGAAACAGACCAACACCUCUCCCUCGUGCCUGCCCGCCAUGCAGAGGAAACAAGCAGAGAAGAAUGCAGCUUGCACAAUCAUCCCAGCAGAAGGAGUCUGAGAUGAAGAACAAGAGAAGCUGCCACAUCUGCUUGGAGAACAAAUAAGGAACUGCAACAUCACCAAAGAGCAAAGCCUCGCCGUACAAUAUCAUCAAAUCAUCACUUGCAAGUAAAAAGCUAAGUGUCACCCCGUUCAAGAGGAAAGCUGUGGAAAGUCAACAAGCACGACCAAUGAUUACUUAUUAGUUUUAUUCAUUAUCUUUUAUCGUAAUUUUCAAUUUUUCGUUUGCAAUUUUUUUUUAAUUAAUUUUCUUGCGUACUUAACUGAAUUAUUUCUUUUCUUUGCAGGAACUUUUGGUUAUUUCCACCCUUGAAGUUGAUUGCAGAAUUUUAGCUUGGGGGUCAUCGCUUGAUUUUACUGCAAAUUAGGGAAGUUUUCAGUCCAAUUGCGUUAUUUUGUUUCUUAUUAUUUAUUUUAUUUUAUUUUAUUUUAUUUAUUUGCAUUAUAGUGUUUUCUGACAUUGGGGACAAUGUCAAGUUUAAGUGUGGGGGUAGAAAUCUCCAGAAUUUCAUUUGUCUCUGUGUUGUUGUUUUUUGUGUUCUUAAUUAAUUUUGUUUUCUUUUAAAAUAAAAAAUAAAAAAAAACUGUGUUGUUGUUUUUUGUGUUCUUAAUUAGUUUUGUUUUCUUUUAAAAAAAAAUUUAAAUUAAAAAAAUUUCGGAAAAUUUAAAAAUCCAAAAAUAUUGUCUUGUUUCCCUUAUUGUUUUGAAUUAGAUUUUUGUUAGUUUCCCGACCCAAUGAUAUAAUUAGAUCAAAUUUGAAUCACGAUUAUCAAGAACUUAGUUAACAUGUAUUUUAUGAAAUUCCUAAUUCUCUUGUUAGUUUUGUACAUGUUUGACCAUCUUUGAAAAACCAAAUGCACAUAGCCUUGUUAAUGUGAAACUAAAGUAUGACUUAAAGCUUCAUAUGUGAAUUUAGUGACCAUAUACAUCCUAUGUGAGUUUUUGAGCCGAUUGAAAAGUGUGUGCAUUUUUCAUACACUCUUAUUCUUUCAUGUGUGAUGAACUUAUGUGAGAUACAUCUCUAGAACUUGCGUAACGAUCUUUCGAAAUGUUUGUCAUUGAUUGCAUGAACUUGGAAAUGAUAGAGGCAUUAGGUUUACCACUAUGGCCCAAAUAACCAUGUUUCCCAAAGAAAAAUGAUAUCAUUAGUUUGCCAAUUUGAGCCGUGUUUGUUGAGCCUUUUAUUUCUUAUCACCAGAUAUGUCUACCCUUAUACCUGAAACAUUUUUCCUUACCCUUUCCAAGCGAGCAAUGCAAGAUUGUUUUAUGAGAAACGUUUGUGAAAUACUGUGAAGAUGUUUGGCAAAAGAAUAAGUGUGGGGGUAUUUCAUGUUUGUGAAUUAAAAAAAAAAAAAAAAAAAAAAAAAAAAAAAAAAAGAAAAAGAAAAGAGAAAGAUUGUAUAAAAAGAAAAUAAAAAGUUUUUAAAGUUUCAGUUUAAGGGUGUGAUUGGAGGUGCUAGAAGAAUUGUUGGAGAGCUUGAGUUCUUAUAAAUCUAAAGAAAAGAAUCGCUUUCAAUGUAGCUUGGAACUUGUGUUUUCCUAUUCUUUCGUUUCAAUAACCCUAUCCCUAAACCUCAUUACAUCCAAUAAAAGUCCUCUUGAUUUAAGUUUUGCAAUUAUGAUUGUGGAGAUGAGAUCUUUAUGCAAGCUUAUGGUAGAAAUUUCACAUUUGAUUCUUUGAGCGAAACACAUUAAAACUAAACACAUAUGUGAUUGAGUGUAUAUCCCGUGAGAAGGUUACUAGUUUGCAUAUGAUGAUUUUAAAAAUAAAAACUUGAAAUUGCAUUAGCAUGGCUAUCUCACACACUACACUUCAAGGAUGAUUCAAAGAUUACUGCUAAUAUUUGAAUAAGAAAGAUGAACUUGGAUUAGUUCCUUGAUGCUAGCUAUGGUUCUUGAUGAUUUGUUUUCUUGAAUGAAAUUCUAUGAGGGUCACAUAGAGGGAAGCUAAUGUUUUUCAUGUUAUUACUUUUUCUUGUUUUCUUUGUUUUGCUCGAGGACUAGCAAAAGUUAAGUGUGGGGGUAUUUGAUCGGAUCAUAUUUAUAUAUAUUUUUUACUUCGAAUUCACUCGUCUUUUCUUAGUUAGUUCCUUAUAUUUUUGAGCUAUUUACGUUAUUUUUGUGUUUAUAGGAUUUGUUAUGCAAAGAAAAUAAAAAUAGCACAAAUGAGUUUUAAAUAAUAAAUUCGUCGAAAAUUGCUUUAGUCGUUCUCAUUCUGUCAUGGAUUAUUGGUAGAAUUAUGUCACGGCAUAAACAAAAGAAAUGGGGAGAGUCGGUCAAAGAGGGAGCAAGAGAGCAUCAUGAUUUAUAUUUUUUUUACCUCGUUGACUCCCAUAUUCUUCACUUCUGAAAACAACAGGAAGCUGCUUUGCAGCUGGAAAGGAAGGAAUCCAAGACGCAAAGGCAGGGACCAGAAACGAAAAGAAUAAUAGAAUAAAGGAUAAUUGGGGAAGGACGUGAGAAGAAAGGGAAGGCAGCGAGGCUGCCAGAAAAAAAAGAAAGAAAAAAAUAUAAAAAGGAGAGGAAGGCAGGUACGGGACAGAAGGGGGGGUCUUGGAGCGGGGUGGACAGAGGAGCUGCCUUUGGGCAGCUCGCAGACAGACGCAGCGGAACAGAAAAAUAAUUGGGGGAGAGAAGAGACUGACGUGGGCGCAAGAAGGGAGCACGGGAAGGAAAGAAGACAGUACGGGGAGAGAGGAAAGGAAAAGCAGGAAACGGUGAGGCGCAGCGAGAGGUCAGGAGGUCAGGAGGUCAGCACGCAGAAAGGAAAGAAAAUAAGAGGCCAGUGCACAGUAGGCGCAGGAAAGAGGAGGAGAGACUGACACGGGACUGAGGGCAGAGACCAGCAGAAAUGGGAGCAACACAGAGAAAAGUUUCACUCCAUUUUUCUUGGUUUUAUCUUCUCAAACUUAUGUUUAAUUUUUGGUUUAAUUUUAGAAUAAUGUGUAGCUAAAUUUAUUUUGGCUAGAGGUUAAUUCAAAGCCAUGAAUAUAUUUGUAAUAUGAAUUGAUUACCUUCGGUUGUGAUUUCAUAAGUUGUGAUUUCAAUUUACUUAUCAGUUCGUAUAAAAACUGAUUUGUGUAUGUUGGUUGAGAGUGCACGCUUAAUUUACAUGCAUGAAUUUGAUGCUAGAAUAUAAGUGAAUUUCACCUAAUCGUUAUGAACUUAUUUUCACAAGUAGUAAAGAUUGCUAGUCACAAUCACGUUAAGUAAAUUCUUGGCAAGAGUAUCAUGCUUUUCAUAGUUACGAAUGUCUCGUCAAUGCUUAUAGUUUUCACAAAGUUUAAUGAUCUUUGAUUGUAUCUCUAUUGUGCUUUUCACGUAGGGGACUUUUGAAGAAUGUUUUGAAUUGUUGUAUGCGUUUUCCCGUCCAAUUCAAUAACUUAAGGAAAACUUGAAGAUUAAAAAAGUGCUGUUCACGGUUAAUCUGGAGUAUUGAAAUUCACAAUUUAUUGAAAGAACAACUGAAAAUCAAUUUAGGUUGCAUAUGUGUCAUGUGUGGAGAAGAACCCUCUAGCUAGUCC